ACGGAAUAGAUACCCGGGUAGUCCAUGCCGUAAACGUUGGGCACUAGGUGUGGGGGACAUUCCACGUUUUCCGCGCCGUAGCUAAACGCAUUAAAGUGCCCCGCCUGGGGAGUACGGCCGCAAGGCUAAAACUCAAAGGAAUUGACGGGGGCCCGCACAAGCGGCGGAGCAUGCGGAUUAAUUCGAUGCAACGCGAAGAACCUUACCAAGGCUUGACAUGAACCGGAAAGACCUGGAAACAGGUCCCCACUUGUGGUCGGUUUACAGGUGGUGCAUGGUUGUCGUCAGCUCGUGUCGUGAGAUGUUGGGUUAAGUCCCGCAACGAGCGCAACCCUCGUUCUAUGUUGCCAGCACGUGAUGGUGGGGACUCAUAGGAGACUGCCGGGGUCAACUCGGAGGAAGGUGGGGACGACGUCAAAUCAUCAUGCCCCUUAUGUCUUGGGCUUCACGCAUGCUACAAUGGCCGGUACAAAGGGUUGCGAUACUGUGAGGUGGAGCUAAUCCCAAAAAGCCGGUCUCAGUUCGGAUUGGGGUCUGCAACUCGACCCCAUGAAGUC
rnacentral:rRNA from 1 species